UUCAACUUAAGAUUAAGCAAAGUACAGUUGAAGAAAAGCAAUGGAGGCAGUUUGCAGUUAAGGUAGAGGGCAGAAUGUAAAUGCAAACUAAAAUUUAGAGUGGUUUGGUCAAUCUUGACCUACAUCCACUUUUGGCUUCCUCCUCCGAUGAGGUCAUUGACGUCCACUAGAGGCUUUCUUUCAAUAGGCGAAGGCCAACCCCCCUUUUACAACUUUACUCCUUUUGACGGGCUUAGGAGACAACCCUUACAAAUUUUCACUCCUCUCUUGAACGAUCAAAACAUAGAAGGAAAGAGGGAGAAGAACUUUUGGCCUUUUACAAUACUUUUGAGCUCUCAAAUUCUCAUAAUAAGAUCAAGAUUUCGGUGUCAUUUCAUUAGGAAAGGGUGGGGUUUAUAUAGGCCCCAGCUGGUUUGAAUUUGGAGCUUAAAAAUGUCAUCUCUUGGAUUUUCGGGGUCCUGGUGGUACUAUCACCUGGCAUUGCUCAAAGACCGAGCUCAGGCGGUACCACCACCUGACAGGGAUGGUACUACCGCUCAGCUUCGCUCGGAGAGCGAGCUCAGGCGGUACCACCGCCUGACAGGUGCGGUACCACCGCUUAGCAUUCCUAGGAGACUGAACUCGUAGGCGGUGCCACCGCUGGCCAGGAAUUCUGGGUCCGAAUGAGCUGAUCCAUUCAGCCCAAUUUAGGUCUGUCAAGGGCCCAAUUGCCUCCAAAAUAAGUUAAUGGGAUCACCUCCCAUUCCUAACUUAAUCUACAUGCUAACUACGAUAUUUAAGACAUUAAUACUGCAACUUGCUCCGGUGCGUCAAUCGCUUCUUCCAACGAGCUUCUGGCGAACUUCCGGCGAACAUCCGAUGAACCCCCGACGAUGCUCCGGUGGACAUCCGGCAAACUCCUGGACUUGCGACGAUCUACUUGGCGAGUUCCGACGAGCUUCUUUGGCAAGCUCUUGGACUUCUCGGAUUUGUUCCCGUAGAACCUCCGACGACCGUCCCGACUUCCGUCGAACUCUCGAACCCCCAUUGUGAUCAUGGUCUUGACUCCGGCGGAACACCUGCUGCAUGUCUUACUACCAUCGUAGUUAAUCCUGCACAUAUAAAACAAACUUUGAUCUAGACAAUUAAUACUAAGCAUUAAUCAAGUUGUCCGGCAUGUCAUUGGUCCUUCGACGCUUCGUCUGAUUCUUCGGCGCAUCAUCCUCUCCUACGGCCUAUUGCCCAAUCAGUUAGUUGACUCCACAACUCCGAUAUCCUUGGCAUAAUACUUGCUCUUCUUAGCUUGAUGCCCGAAUCCACGGCCCGAAGCCUUUUGUCGAUACGUCGACCGAUCCAUUAGCCCGACGUCCAAUCUUCUGACAUGUUCCUUCGGCCCAACAUGAUUCUUCCUGCUUUAAUUGUCUCAUCCUGAUCGAAGCAUCCUAUGUCACUCAAAAUGCAGAUUAAAACAUAAAUACUUAUCGAUUGGUUUCAUCAUCAAAAUACGAGAUUCAACAGUCUCUCCUUUUUUGAUGAUGACAACCAACUAACGACGGAGUUAACCUUUAACUCCCGGAGUUUAACCAAACUCCCUAUAUCAAUAUGCCAUAUUGAUAGAGACUCUUGGAUUCAAAAAUCAAAUCAAAUAUGUUAUGAUUAAAUCAUUUAUGACAUCAACAUACUUUUUCCCCUUUGUCAUCAACAAAAAGGAGAAGUUCCAACUAUUCAUGUGUUUGGAAUAAGUUCAAUACAUUGUAUCAUAAAUCUCCGGUCAUACAAGCUAGCAAGAAUUUUGAGUUCUACAAGUUUGUAAAUUUUGUUAGAUAUGCAAGUUCAGCAUGUUUGUUUUGCAAUGUUCAAGCUAGCAAGUGUUUGAAAAAGAAAGCAAGUUUUGCAACAGACAAGCUAGCAAUAAUUUAGAAUUGUGUAAGUUUGCAAAUUUGCUUUUCUUUGCAAUGUGCAAGAUAGUAAUUUUGCUUCUUUUGAGAUAGCAACUCUUUGCUUCUCAAGAUAGGCGAGCUAGUGAUGUUCAAGAUAGCAAGCUCUUUCUUCUCUUUUGAGAAGUGCCAUUAUUUUUGCUUUCUUUCUAAAAACGCAAGCUAACAAAAUGUUACAUUGUUUUACAACAUGGAAGCUAACAAUUUGAGAUGUUCAAGAAGCAAGUUCUUUCUUCUCUUUUGAGAAGUGCAAUUUUCUGCUUUCAUCUUGAAUUGUGCAAGCUAACAUCUUUUAUCUCCCCCUUUGUCAUUGUCAAAAAGAAGGGAAGACCCUUUAUAUCAAUUUUCAGAUUAUUAGAAAGGUAAGUAUCAAUCUUAUUUGUGCAUCAUUAUAUUUUCAAAUUAAAACAUGCAUAUUUUCAAAAACUUUACAUAUCAUCCUUACUUCAUGCAUUAUACAAAUCAAUCAUCAUCAUGGGCAUAUCAUACAUGAUAUUAAAGCAUCCAUGAUAUAUCAUUUUGGCAACAUGAUCAUAGCUUUUCAAAUGAUAGUAUCUAAAUGUCAAAAUUCAUUACAUCCUAUCAUGCAUGAUCAUUAACUUCUCAUUUGUAUUUAAUGCAUAAUUUCAUUUCAUCACAUUCAAAAUAUCAAGAGAAUUUUGGUGAUGAGAUAGACAUUUCAUGAAUACAAGGAAUUUUACAUAAUAAAAUUCAAGUCAUAAAUUAUCAAGAUGUCAAGUAGCAUAUAUUGGUUAAUUUGAAUACAUCAAUUUUAGUGAAUACCAAGAAGAAUCAUAGUAUGAAAAAUCUUGAAUCAUAGAAAAAUCUCAUGUAUCAAAUAUCAAGAAAUCAAAAUGAUGAUUCAUAUAAAAAAAUAUCAUGAUUUAUAUUCAAGAGAAAAAUCAUCAUUCAUUUUUAACUCUUUUAAUUUGUCAAAUCAAUAUUUUUUAGAUAUGCAUGAUACCAAAACAUGGUUUCAAAUAUUUCACAUAUAACAUGCAUAAUUUCAAACAUUGAUAGGAGAAAUGAAGAAUUCAAAGGUACAAAGAUUUCAACUAUUUCAUAAACAAAUAAAAGAUCAAGUCAUGAAUCUAAAAUUCCAUAAUCAAAAUGAUCAUCAAAGGCAAUCUCAUGUUAUUCCAAGAAAUCAAGAUCAUGAUUUUGAUAAAACUUAUUUCAAAUUCAAAUCAUCAAAAUCUCAACAAUACUUUCAAGAGAUUCAAAAAGACACAAACAAUGUUAUCAAUCUCUUAGUGAAAAGUUGAUAAGAUAGAAAUUUUUUUUUUUCAAGAACAAUGCUUUUCUCUUUUUAAUUGUUUCAAUUCAUGUGAUUUAUUUCAUAGAAACAUUCCUUUUUCAUUUAUGCCAAAUAUGCAUCAACGUUUAAAAACUGAAAAAGCCACUUUUAUUACCAUAAAAAUCGAUAAUCCAUAAAUCUUAUAAAUCAUCAUGCAUAAUUUCAAAAAAUAUGGUUUCAAAAUAUUUAAUAUUUUCAUUACAACAUCAAGCAAGGUUUCAUUGAACAUAAUUUUGAAUGAUUCUUAUAGAUAUCUAAAACUUCUUUAGUUUGACUUUAUAUUAGCAUGCCGAGAUUUUUGUUCUUAUGUCAAAACCAUACAUGAUGUUGAAAACCAAAAACAAGGUUCAGAAAAAAAAAUCAACAAGCCUUCCAUACAAAAGCCAUGUAUCGUCAUUGAAAAGCAAUAUGGAAAUCAUCGAAAUACACAUUCUUGCUUCUCAAGCAUAUACAUAAGAUUAAUCUUACUAGGUAUACAAUCAUUAGAUUUAUAUUUAAUCUUUUAUUACAUCAAACAUGUAAUUUUUAUGAUUAUUUUCAAAAUUACUGGAAUGAUAAGAAUGAUCCUAAUAUUUGUUUUCAUUAUUAAACAUGAACAUUUCAAGAAAAUUAAUUCUAAAAAAAAAUAACUCAUAAAAAAUGUCAUGUAAUUUCAAAAUAAACUAAAGGCUUUUUUGAUUACCUCAACGUUGAAGGCCGUUAAGGCGUAAUUUGCCACCUCGCCUUUGUUGAUUUUCUCCUCGUCUUCGAAGGAGCUCGAUUCAUCCCACUUUGUGUUCUUCUUGCAUUCAAAGAAAGUAGGUUCGUUCUUUUUAAGUUUAUUUUUGUUCUACAAUUAUUGUUUCAUAAACUUUUUAAAUUUUAUAGUGAGUUCAAGUUUACCAUCACUGGAACUUAUGAUCGAGUGGUCUUCAAUUGUUCUAUGUCCCAAAUCCUUCCUGUUCUUUGGAAGGGGGUUUUGUUCAUCAUAUUCAUGAUGUGUAUUGUGCACCAUUUCAUAUGUCAUCAAUGAACCGAUUAGUUCUUCAAGUGAAAAAAAAUUUAAAUUUUUUAUUUCUCGUAUUGCUGUUACUUUCAAUUCCCAAGCUUUAGAAAGUGAUCAUAAAACUUUACUCACAAGUUCAAAGUUCGAAAAAUAUUUACCAAGAGCUUUUAAACCAUUGACGAUAUCCGUAAAAUGGGUGUACAUGUCAACAAUGGUUUCGCUCGGCUUCAUUCAAAAAAGCUCGAAAUCGUGCAUUAAAAGAUUGACUUUAGAAUCUUUUACACAACUCGUGCCUUCGUGUGUGAUUUCAAGAGUGCGUCAAAUAUCGAAAGCCGUUUUGCACAAAGAAAAUUGAUUAAAUUAUAUUUUAUCUAAAGCGCAAAAUAAGACAUUCAUAGUCAUUGCAUUUAGAGAAAACGUCUUCUUCUCCUAAUCAUUCCAAUGGUUCAUUGGAAGAGAAGACAUUUCAAAUUCGUUUUCGACUAUGUACCAUAAAUUUAAAUCAAUCGAAAGGAAGAAAACUCUCAUUCGAGUUUUCCAAUAAGUGUAGUCCGUCCCAUUAAAAAAGAGAGGACGAAUGAGAGAUUGACCCUCUUGAAAGCCGAUAUAAGCCAUUUCUAUUCGAGUGUUGAACCAAAUUAGAAAACUAUGGCUUUGAUACCAAUUGUUAGGAUUAAUAGCACUAGGGGGGAGAGGUGAAUUAGUGCAGCGGAAAACUUUCGAUGAUUUAAAAUGACGUUCGUACGAUAAAAACACUUUCGAUGAAAAACCAUUUUGGAAAGUUCUUCAACUUAAGAUUAAAAGAAGUACAGUUGAAGAAAAGCAAUGGAGGCAGUUUACAGUUAAGAUAGAGAGCAUAAUGUAAAUGCAAACCGAGAUAUAGAGUGUUUCGGUCAAUCUUGACCUACAUCCCCUUUUGGCUUCCUCCUCCGAUGAGGUAACCGAUGUCUACUAGAGGCCUUCCUUCAAUAGGCAAAGGCCAACCACCCUUUUACAGCUUUACUCCUUUUGACCGGCUUAGGAGCAACCCUUAUAGAUUUUCACUCCUCUCUUGGUCUUUUAUAACACUUUUAUGCUCUUAAAUUCUUAGAAUAAGAUCAAGAUUUCGAUACCCUUUCAUGCAGAAAAGGGUGGGGUUUAUAUAGGUCCCAACUAGUUCGAAUUUGGAGCUCAAAAAAGUUAUCUCUCGGAUUUCCGAGGUCCUAGCAAUACUACCGCCAUAACUGGGCAGUACUAUCGCUUGGCAUUGCUCGGAGACCGAGCUUAGGUGGUACCACCGCUUGACUGGGGCGGUACCACUGCUCAGCUUCACUCAGAGAUCGAGCUCAGGCAGUACCACCGCCUAGGAUUCCUGGGAGACUGAGCUCCUAGGAGGUGCCACCAUCAGAUAGGAAUUCUGGGUCAGAAUGGGCUAUUCCAUUCAACCUAAUUUGAGUUUGUCAAGGGCCCAAUUGCCCCCAGAUUAUGUUAAUGGGAUCACCUCCCAUUCCUAACUUAAUCUACAUGCUAACUAUGAUAUUUAAGAUAUUAAUACUGCAACUUGCUCUAGUGUGUCAAUCGCUUCUUCCGCCGAGCUUCCGACGAACUUUCGGCGAACAUCCGAUGAACCCACGGUGAUGCUCCAACGGACUUCCGGCAAACUCCUGGACUUGCGAUGAUCCACUUGGCGAGUUUCGACGAGCUGCUUUGGCAAGCUCUUGGACUUUUCGGAUUUGUUCCCGCAGAACCUCCGAUGACCGUCCGGACUUUCGUCGAACCCUCGAACCCCCAAUGUGAUUAUGGUCUUGAUUUUAGCAUAACACCUGUUGCAUGUCUUACUGCUAUCAUAUUAAUCCUGCACAUGUAAAAUAAACUUCGAUCUAGAUAAUUAACACUAAGCAUGAAUCAAGUUGUUCAGCAUGUCAUUGGUCCCACGAUGCUUCAUCUAAUUCUUCGGUGCAUCGUCCUCUCCUGCAGCCUAUUGCCCAAUCGGCUAGUUGACUCCGCAACUCUAAUAUCCUUGGUGAAAUACCCGCUUUUUUUGGCUUGAUGCAUGAAUCCAUGGCCCGAAGCCUUCUGUCGAUACGUCGACCGAUCCAUCGGACUAACGUCCAAUCUUCUGACAUGUUCCUCCAGCCCAACAUGAUUCUUCCUGCUUUAAUUGUCUAAUCCUGAUCGAAGCAUCCUGCGUCACUCAAAACGCAGAUUAAAACAUAAACACUUAUCGAUUGAUUUCAUCAUCAAAAUACGAGAUUCAACAAUCUCUCCCUUUUUGAUAAUGAUAACCAAUUGACGACGGAGUUAACCUUAACUCCCGGAGUUUAACCAAACUCCCCCUAUCAAUAUGCCGUAUUGAUAGAGACUCUUGGAUUCAAAAAUCCAAGCAAACAUGUCAUUAUUAAAUCAUUCAUGACAUCAACAUACUUCUCCCCCUUUGUCAUCAACAAAAAGGAGAAGUUCCAACUAUUCAUGUGUUUGGAAUAAGUUCAAUACAUUGCAUCAUAAAUCUCCAGUUUUAUAAUCAUGCAAGCUAGCAAGAAUUUUGUGUUUUACAAGUUUGUAAAUUUUGCUAGAUAUGCAAGUUCAGCAUGUUUGUUUUGCAAUGUUCAAGCUAGCAAGUGUUUGAAAAAAAAAGCAAGUUUUGCAAUAUACAAGCUAGCAAUAAUUUAGAAUUAUGUAAGUUUGCAAAUUUGCUUUUGUUUGCAAUGUGCAAGAUAGCAAUUUUGCUUCUUUUGAGAUAGCAACUCUUUUCUUCUUAAGAUUGGUAAGCUAGUGAUGUUCAAGAUAGCAAGCUCUUUCUUCUCUUUUGAGAAGUGCCAUUAUUUUUGCUUUCUUUGCAAAAACGUAAGCUAACAAAAUGUUACAUUAUUUUACAACAUGGAAGCUAACAAUUUGAGAUGAUCAAGAAGAAAGUUCUUUCUUCUCUUUUGAGAAGCGCAAUUUUUUGCUUUCUUCUUAAAUUGUGCGAGCUAGCAUCUUUUAUAUCCCCCUUUGUCAUUGUCAAAAAGAAGGGAAGACCCUUUAUAUCAAUUUUCAGAUUAUGACAAAGGUAAGUAUCAAUCUUAUUUGUGCAUUAUUAUAUUUUCAAAUUAAAACAUGCACAUUUUCAAAAACUUUACAUAUCAUCCUUACUUCAUGCAUUAUACAAAUCAAUCAUCAUCAUGAGCAUAUCAUAUAUGAUAUUCAAGCAUUCAUGAUACAUCAUUUUGACAACAUGAUCCUAGCUUUUCAAAUGAUGGUAUCUAAAUGUCAAAAUUCAUUAUGUCCUACCAUGCAUGAUCAUUAACUUCUCAUUUGUAUUUCAUGCAUAAUUUCAUUUCAUCACAUUCAAAAUAUCAAGUGAAUUUUGGUGAUGAGAUAGACAUUUCAUGAAUACAAGGAAUUUUACGUAAUAAAAUUCAAGUCAUAAAUUAUCAAGAUGUCAAGUAGUAUAUCAUUGUUAAUUUGAAUACAUCAUUUUUAGUGAAUACCAAGAAGAAUCAUGGUAUGAAAAAUCUUGAUUCAUAGGAAAAUCUCAUGUAUCAAAUAUUAAGAAAUAAAAAUGAUGAUUCAUAUAAAAAAUAUCAUGAUUUAUAUUCAAGAGAAAAAUCAUCAUUCAUUUUCAACUCUUUCGAUUUGUCAAAUCAACAUUUUUUAGAUAUGCAUGAUACCAAAACAUAGUUUCGAAUGUUUAACAUAUAACAUGCAUAAUUUCAAACAUUGAUAGGAGAAGGGAAGAAUUCAAAGGUAUACCAUAAAAAUCGAUAAUCCAUAAAUCUUAAGAAUCAUCAUGCAUAAUUUCGAAAAACAUGGUUUCAAAAUAUUUAAUAUUUUCAUUACAACAUCAAGCAAGGUUUCAUUGAACAUAAUUUUGAAUGAUUCUUAUGGAUAUCUAAAACUUCUUUAGUUUGACUUUAUAUUAGUAUACCCAGAUUUUUGUUUUUAUGUCAAAACCAUACAUGAUGUUGAAAAACAAAGACUAGGUUCAUAAAAAAAAUCAUCAAGCCUUCCAUACAAAAGCUAUGCAUCGUCAUUGAAAAGCAAUAUGGAAUUCAUCAAAAUACACAUUCUUGCUUCUCAAGCAUAUACAUAAGAUUAAUCUUACUAGGUAUACAAUCAUUAGAUUUAUAUUUAAUCUUUUAUUACAUUAAACAUGUAAUUUUAAUGAUCAUUUUCAAAAUUACUAGAAUGAUAAGAAUGAUCCUAAAUUUUGUUUUCAUUAUUAAACAUGCACUUUUCAAGAAAAUUAAUUCUAAAAAAAAAAUAACUCAUGAAAAAUAUCAUGUAAUUUCAAUAUAAACUAAAGUCUUCUUGAUUACCUCAACGUCGAAGGCCGUUAAGGCAUAGUUUGCCACCUCACUUUUGUUGAUUUUCUCCUCAUCUUUAGAGGAGCUUGAUUCAUCUCACUUUGUGUUCUUCUUGUGUUCAAAGCAAAUAGAUUCAUUCUUUUUAAAUUUAUUUUUGUUCUUCAAUUCUUGUUUCAUAAACUUUUUAAAUUUUAUAGUGAGUUCAAGUUCACCAUCACUAGACCUUAUGCUUGAGUAGUCUUCAAUUGUUCUAUGUCCAAAAUCCUUCCUGUUCUUUGGAAGGUGAUUUUGUUCAUCAUGUUCAUCAUGUGCAUUGUGCACCAUUUCAUAUGUUAUCAAUGAACCGAUUAGUUUUUCAAGUGAAAAAAUAUUUAAAUCUUUUGUUUCUUAUAUUGCUGUUACUUUCAAUUCCAAAGCUUUAGAAAGUGAUCGUAAAACUUUACUCACAAGUUCAAAGUUCGCAAUACAUUUGCCAAGAACUUUUAAACCAUUGAUGACAUCUGUAAAAUGAGUGUACAUGUCAACAAUGGUUUCGCUCGGCUUCAUUUGAAAAAGCUCGAAAUCGUGCAUUAAAAGAUUGACUUUAGAAUCUUUUACACUUCUCGUGCCUUCGUGUGUGAUUUCAAGAGUGUGCCAAAUAUCAAAAGCCGUUUCGCAUAAAGAAACACGAUUAAACUCCGUUUUAUCUAAAGCGCAAAAUAAGGCAUUAAUAGCCUUUGCAUUUAGAGAAAACGUCUUCUUCAACAAAUCAUUCCAAUGGUUCAUUGGAAGAGAAGACAUUUCAAAUCUGUUUUCAACUGUGUGCUAUAAAUUUAAAUCAAUCGAAAGCAAGAAAACUCUCAUUCGAGUUUUUCAAUAAGUGUAGUCCGUCCCAUUGAAAAAGGGAGGACGAAUGAGAGAUUGACCCUCUUGAAAGCUAAUGUAAGCCAUUUUUAUUUGGGUAUUAAACCAAAUUAGAAAACCGUGGCUCUGAUGCCAAUUGUUAGGAUCAAUAGCACUAAGAGGGGGGGUGAAUUAGUACAGUAGAAAACUUUCGACGAUUUAAAACGACGUUCGUACGAUAAAAAACACUUUCGAUGAAAAACCAUUUCGGAAAGUUCUUCAACUUAAGAUUAAGCAAGGUAUUGUUAAAGAAAAUCAAUGGAGGUAGUUUGCAGUUAAGAUAGAGAGCAGAAUGUAAAUGCAAACUGAGAUUUAGAGUGGUUUGGUCAAUCUUGACCUACAUCCACUUUUGGCUUCCUCCUCCGAUGAGGUCAUCGACAUCCACUAGAGGCCUUCCUUCAAUAGGCAAAGGCCAACCACCC
rnacentral:lncRNA from 1 species